AUCCGCCUUGGGAGAGAAUGUUUCAGACGCUUUGGCCCGCUGGUCCGGCGGAAGCGCGAACCCCCCCCCCCCCCCUUCUUACGCCGCCAGCCACCCCACACAGACACACAGGCACACACACACUCCCUUAGGCCUCUGUCACUCUCCAUCAUCACCAUUCUCUUGCUCUUCCCCGCUCUUUCCCAAACCCUGGGAUUCCCCGAAGACCCUGCACCGUGGGCCACCCUGAGUACCACGGGCCACCUCACAGUCAAUGGGCGCGCGGGGUGGCACAGGAGAAGGGAGUGAGACAAGGAGAGAUGUCGCGGCCAGGCAGGGCGCCCCACUACCCAAGUCCACGUCGCUCCACCAGGCGUUCAAGCGCCUACCCGGAAGUUUGGCAUCAUCAAGUCAUGUUUUCACUGCCUUCACGUGGGCCGAGGGCCUGCCAGGAUCUGAAAGGCAGGGAAAGUUUGUAGAGGCUUUAACGUGAUUCCGAGGAGCUCCUAUCCGAGGCGUUGGGGUGCUGUCCACGGCUCUCCCGCUGGGGUCCCCGAGUGCGCCACUUGCGGGCCGCCUGGUGGACGCUGCCUGGGUCCCAAGGGCCCCCUGCGCUCCAGGUGCUCUGGGUCGGGCUCCCGGAGCCGCCGCGCGGCUCAGGAGAGCCGGGCCGCGACCCGGCGGAGUCCUUAAGGAAGCCUCCAGUCCACCAUAAAGCCCCCGGAGCGUUCCGAGGAAAGGAGCCCGGGAGCCCUCCAGAAGGUGCCUCUCCACAACCUUCUGCGCAGACCCGGGGUCGCCCCCGUCCCCGAAGACGAGACUCUUUCGACUUCGCAGUGAAGUUUCCUGGUAGCGCUUCUACCCUGAGGUCGGAGCCUUCCACCGCCGCUCCUCCGUCCGGACGUGCGGAGCGAGCUGGAUCUUCGCCCCGGCCUGGCCGCCCGCGACGUGCCCCGGGCGGGGACCCCCGCGUCCCGGCUGCUGCGCCGCCCUCCACGCCCCACGUCCGGGGCUCCGUAGGGGACUUGCUCCCCCCAGGGUGA
rnacentral:lncRNA from 1 species